rnacentral:tRNA from 1 species
AAAGUUUUAGUUUAUAUAGAAUGAAGAAUUGUAAAUUCUUAGGAUCUUACUUUG